CGACCACAAGGGGGCCUAGUCUAAUACCGGAUAUGACCUUACAUCGCAUGGUGUUUGGUGGAAAGAUUUAUCGGUGCGAGAUGGGCCCGCGGCCUAUCAGCUUGUUGGUGGGGUAAUGGCCUACCAAGGCGACGACGGGUAGCCGGCCUGAGAGGGCGACCGGCCACACUGGGACUGAGACACGGCCCAGACUCCUACGGGAGGCAGCAGUGGGGAAUAUUGCACAAUGGGCGAAAGCCUGAUGCAGCGACGCCGCGUGAGGGAUGACGGCCUUCGGGUUGUAAACCUCUCUCGACAGGGACGAAGCGCAAGUGACGGUACCUGUAGAAGAAGCACCGGCCAACUACGUGCCAGCAGCCGCGGUAAUACGUAGGGUGCGAGCGUUGUCCGGAAUUACUUGGCCUAAAGAGCUUGUAGGCGGCUUGUCGCGUCGAUCGUGAGAACUUGGGGCUCAACCCCAAGCUUGCGGUCGAUACGGGCAGGCUUGAGUACUUCAGGGGAGACUGGAAUUCCUGGUGUAGCGGUGAAAUGCGCAGAUAUCAGGAGGAACACCGGUGGCGAAGGCGGGUCUCUGGGAAGUAACUGACGCUGAGAAGCGACAGCGUCGGUAGCGAACAGGAUUAGAUACCCUGGUAGUCCACGCCGUAAACGGUGGGUACUAGGUGUGGGUUCCCUUCCACGGGAUCCGUGCCGUAGCUAACGCAUUAAGUACCCCGCCUGGGGAGUACGGCCGCAAGGCUAAAACUCAAAGGAAUUGACGGGGGCCCGCACAAGCGGCGGAGCAUGUGGAUUAAUUCGAUGCAACGCGAAGAACCUUACCUGGGGGUUGUAAACCUCUUUCGACAGG
rnacentral:rRNA from 1 species